AUGGAAGAAGAAAUUGAUGAAAUUGUGAGCUCAUUGGAUGAAAAAGAUGAUGAGGAGAGCGAAGAACAAAAGGAGGAAGAGCGGAUUAGCUACCCGUUCCCACCUUCUAAUGAGAGUAACCCUUCAACUCAUACAUUGUUUAAUUUCCCUCCGUGCUUACCGAAGGAUGAUUGCUAUGAUGAUUAUUAUGAUCCCGUUGACUCUCUUGAAAUAUCCCUUUUUGAUGAUGCUCGCUAUGCUUGUGGCCAAGAUGCUAAUAUGAAUUAUGCUUAUGGAGAUGAACUUGCUAUAGUUCCAUAUGUUAAACAUGAAAUUGUUGCUAUUGCACCCAUGCAUGAUAGUCCUAUUAUCUUUUUAAAUUCUCCCUACUACACUAUAUCGGAGAAGUUUGUGCUUAUUAAGGAUUAUAUUGAUGGGUUGCCUUUUACCAUUGCACAUGAUGAUUUUGAUGAAUAUAAUAUGCAUGUGCUUGCUGCUCCUACUUGCAAUUAUUAUGAGAUAGGAACUAUAUCUCCACCUCUCUAUGUUUCCAAUAUGAUAAAAUUGCAAGAAACUGCUUAUACUAUGCAUUGGCCUUUACUAUGUGUGCAUGAAUUGUUCUUUUAUUACAUGUCGAUGCAUAGGAAGAGAGUUAGACUUCGUCAUUACUUGAUAUAUGUUACUUGGUUCUUACUACUAAAUUACAAAUCAUUGUUAAUUAAAAUUGGCUUUGAUAUACCUUGGGAUCCGGGUGGAUCCGAUACUUGA
rnacentral:rRNA from 1 species